UCACAUUUACCCAAGGGUGGGUGAGAACACAGGUCCGGGUUCGACAAGUCGGCGUAGCCGUCUUGAACGCAGGAGCGUCAGCGAGGGCGGUACAAUAUCUAAAGGUCUUGAACGCAGGAGCGUGAGCGAGGGCGGCCCGCAGGGCGAGGGGCGAAGCCACGAGUAAUCCCACCCUCUCCGCCA
rnacentral:sRNA from 1 species